rnacentral:lncRNA from 1 species
GGGCUAAAAUUAGGACAUAAUUAAAAGCUUAAUUACCCAUCCUAACCUAAAUAAGCUCGCUGCACUCAUCUCUCUCUCUCUCUCUCUCAGAUUUUUUUCCCCAUCAUUUCCUCAUUUCCUCUUUGCGUCACGCCGCCCCGCCAACCACCGUCCGGCGGCGCCCCGCCCGCAGACACUGCCAGUCCGCCCGCAGACAACCACCGUCCGGCGGCGCCUCCACCUCAUCCUACCCACGUAACCCACCGCCUAUCUCUCUCUCUUCUCCUUCUCCACACCUAUCGGUCUCUCUUUCUCCCCAUCUCUCCCACCUUUCCCUCUCGCAGCCAUCGCCGUCCACCGCCGUCCGUCGGCCAGCCAGAUUUCUCCGCCGCCAGAUCUGUCCACCGCCGUCCACAGCCAGAUCUGUCCGCCGCCGACCUCCACCUAGCGCUGCCUUCCUCCACCGCCUUCACCAAUUUGUAGAUUUGUGGAUUUGAUUUUUUGGGGUUUGUGGAUUCAAGGAGAGUUGGUGCAUUUGUGGAUUUGCUAUUUUGGGUUUGUGGAUUCGAGAGGAAUGAGUGGAUUCGGGGAUCUAGGGAUUUAGAAAUAGGCGUUGCCUCGCGCUGCUCCCGGAUCUGCCACCUCGCCGGAAGAUAUCCAGCCUCGUCGCCGGCGACCGCCUCCAGCAACGGACUGAAGAAAGGAAGUUCUGAAAUCGCCUCCAACAAGAAUUUUGAUACUCCUAAUAAAAUUGUGAUUCUUGAAGAUUGUUGAUUUAAUUUGCAGUUUGUGG